rnacentral:rRNA from 1 species
UACGUAGGUCUCAAGCGUUAUCCGGAUUUAUUGGGUUUAAAGGGUGCGCAGGCGGCGCGUUAAGUCAGCGGUGAAAUCUCAUGGCUCAACCAUGGAACUGACGUUGAUACUGGCGUGCUAGAGUACGGACGGCGCCGGCGGAAUGUGUCAUGUAGCGGUGAAAUGCUUAGAUAUGCCACAGAACACCGAUCGCGAAGGCAGCUGGAGGCCGGGACUGACGCUCAGGCACGAAAGCGUGGGGAUCAAACAG